UAACUCUGGACAGUCACUCUCUUAAUUAUACUAAUUCCUUAAAUUACUUCCUAAAAUCAUCUAAUUUUAAAAUCCUGACAACUUUUUGUACAUACAGUAUAUACACAUCACUUCUGCACGGAACUACCGACAUGAGUGGAUCAGGGAGAU
rnacentral:pre_miRNA from 1 species